rnacentral:tRNA from 1 species
GAGAGAUGGCCGAGCGGUUGAUGGCGCUGGUCUUGAAAACCAGUGAUGCCUUUGGGCACCGGGGGUUCGAAUCCCUCUCUCUCC